UCUGCGUGAAGAACCGACUGCAGUACC
rnacentral:piRNA from 1 species